GUUUUACCCACAGACCCAUCCUACUUAGGAAUAUCUUGAACUAUCAAGCGGUAACUAGUGGUUGGCAUCUCAUCAGUUAACCCUUUCAGGUCUGGAUCCUGGAAACCAGUAGCUGCUGGGGAUAUUUUAGCCUUUGGCUGAAAUGAAAAAGCAGAGGGACACGUUGCGCCUCAUUCACCCGGAAGUGAAGUGACUGGGUAGGCAAUAGGUUUCCUAACACAACUAUUGUUUGACUGUGAGGAUCUGGAAAGGAAACAG